rnacentral:rRNA from 1 species
AACGAACGCUGGCGGCAUGCUUAACACAUGCAAGUUGAACGCAGGAUAGGACUUCGGUUCUAUUGCUGAGUAGCGAACGGGUGAGUAACGCGUGGGAAUCUACCUUUUUGUGGGGGAUAACUGAGGGAAACUUCAGCUAAUACCGCAUAAGCUCUACGGAGGAAAGGCUUCGGCCGCAAGAAGAGGAGCCCGCGUCAGAUUAGGUAGUUGGUAGGGUAAAAGCCUACCAAGCCAAUGAUCUGUAGCUGGUCUGAGAGGAUGAUCAGCCACACUGGGACUGAGACACGGCCCAGACUCCUACGGGAGGCAGCAGUGGGGAAUAUUGGACAAUGGGGGAAACCCUGAUCCAGCAAUGCCGCGUGAAUGAAGAAGGCCUUAGGGUUGUAAAGUUCUUUCACCUGUGAAGAUUAUGACGGUAGCAGGAGAAGAAGCCCCGGCUAACUCCGUGCCAGCCGCCGCCGUAA